UACGAAGGGGGCUAGCGUUGCUCGGAAUCACUGGGCGUAAAGGGUGCGUAGGCGGGUCUUUAAGUCAGGGGUGAAAUCCUGGAGCUCAACUGCGGGGCUGCCGGUCAUACUGGCGAGCUAGAGCACGGUAGGGGCAGAUGGAAUUCCCGGUGUAGCGGUGGAAUGCGUAGAGAUCGGGAAGAAUACCAGUGGCGAAGGCGUUCUGCUGGGCCGUUGCUGACACUGAGGCGCGACAGCGUGGGGAGCAAACAGG
rnacentral:rRNA from 1 species